rnacentral:ncRNA from 1 species
CCCGCUUAGUUUUAUCAUAUAAUUAAGCGGAAGAAAAUAAACUUACAAGGAUUCCCCUAGUAAUGGUGAGCGAACUGGGAAGAGCCCAACAUGAAAAUCAGGUGCUAGCGCUGCUUGAAUUGUAGUAUGUAUAAGCAUCCUUAGCAAUGGAUCGGGCCCAAUUCCCCUAUAAGGGGGCACCUGAGAGGGUGAUAGGCCCAUUGGGCCUAGAACCUGCCACACCACGAGACGCUGUUGACGAGUUGGGUUGUUUGGGAAUGCAACCCUAAUCGGGUGGUAAAUUCUUUCCAAGACUAAAUAUGGGCAAGAGACCGAUAGGGAAGAAGUAUCAUGAGGGAAAGAUGAAAAGGAAUUUGAAAUAGAGUUAAAGAGUGCUUGAAAUUGUUGGGAGGGAAGAAAAUGGAGGCUAACGAUGCAUCUCGGUCGGAUGUGGAACGACUCAAGAUGGUCCGCCCCUCGACUCGAGGUGCGAACCAACACAGGUCGUUGCAUUGACACAAGUGCGGGUGGAGUAUUGCUUGUUGGUUUGUUGUUGUGGUGGUCGAGGAGCGGAGAAAUCAAGGGAUUCCAUCAACACUCAUUUAAAUUUUUUUUUAAUCGCUUGCUAAUACUUCUUUUAGUUUGUUGAUAUUGAGCUAGCA